GGCGGGCUACCAUGCAGUCGACGAUGAAGCCCAAGCUUGCUUUGGUGGAUUAGUGGCGAACGGGUGAGUAACACGUGAGUAACCUGCCCCUGACUCUGGGAUAACCCUGGGAAACUGGGUCUAAUACCGGAUAUGACUGCGGAACGCGUGUUCUGUGGUGGAAAGAUUUAUCGGUUGGGGAUGGACUCGCGGCCUAUCAUCUUGUUGGUGAGGUAAUGGCUCACCAGGGCGACCACGGGUACCCGGCCUGAGAGGGUGACCGGCCACACUGGGACUGACACACGGCCCACACUCCUACGGGAGGCAGCAGUGGGGAAUAUUGCACAGUGGGCGAAAGCCUGAUGCAGCGACCCCGCGUGAGGGAUGACGGCCUUCGGGUUGUAAACCUCUUUCAGUAGGGAAGAAGCGAGAGUGACGGUACCUGCAAAAAAAGCGCCGGCUAACUACGUGCCAGCACCCGCGGUAAUACGUAGGGCGCACGCGUUAUCCAGAUUUAUUGGGCGUAAAGAGCUCGUACGCGGUUUGUCGCGUCUGCCGUGAAAGUCCGAGGCUCAACCUCAGAUCUGCGGUGGGUACGGGCACACUAGAGUGAUGUAGGGGAGACUGGAAUUCCUGGUGUAGCGGUGAAAUGCGCAUAUAUCGAGAAGAACACCGAUGGCGAGCGCGUGUCUCUGGGCAUUUACUGACUCUGAAGAGCGAAAGCAUGGAGAGCGAACAAGAUUAUAUACUCUGGUACUCCAUGCCCGUACAUGUUGCGCACUAUGUGUGGGGAGACACUACACGUUCUGCGCGCGUAUCUCACGCAUUAUGUGCCCCCGCCCUGGGGAGUGCUACGGCCGACAGAGCGUCUAAAACAUCUCAG
rnacentral:rRNA from 1 species